CAGUUUUCUAUUCAUGGUCAAGAUUAAUUUACUGACGGGUCUUAUUCUGCGAAAAGGUCACUAGAAAAGAUUGUGAAUAUAAGUUCACAUUGCAUAUCCUGACAUAAACCGAUAUCAGCAGCUUCAUGCUCGCUUGCCUUUGAGAUCAUAGAGCAAUGGUGCUUCACUCUCCAACGUUUUCAGGAAAUACUUAGUAGGCAGCAGGACUACAAGUUCCAUUAUCAGAUGAGUUUCAACAUUGGUGCCAUAUAGAGAUGUUCAGUCCAGUGAGCUCCUUCCACUUCCACAUUACCUCAGGAUUUAUGGGCUCGCCCGCACACAGGCAGUGUUCAAGAGCCUGGAAAUGAAACCUGUCAGAAACCAUAAUCACUGCUGAGAGCUAAAUUACACAAGCAAGAAUUCAUUCAAGAAAAGCUUUAAAGUAUAAACUGGUGUGAAGCACAUCAAAGCACGCAAGUUCCAGACAGGCUACCUGGAUUUGUCCUCAUGUACAAGCAUCCGAUAGGCUGUCGGUGCCGUGCAGAAGGUUGUGAUGGGAAAGCUGGACAGAGUCUUUCAGGAAAGGAACGUCAAUGUUAUGGGAAGCUUAUUUUGUGCACAACAAAAUCUGUCCAUGUCUUCACAAGUUGUAAAGGAAUUAUACAAAACAUUUCACGCAUGCAUUUUU